rnacentral:snRNA from 1 species
AGCUUUGCGCAGUGGCAGUAUCAUAGCCAAUGAGGUUUAUCCGAGGCGUGAUUAUUGCUAAAUGAAAAUUUUCCCAAUACCCCAUUGUGUUCUAAAUAUCCCUCUCAUAGACACACUCCUACUUGUUUAACUCCUGAAAGAUCCUGAAAGAU